GACCUCGUAGCUCAGUCGGCAGAGUAACGGUAGAUCUAAUCCGGAGGUCGUGGGUUCGAUUCCCACCGAGGUCA